GUUAUUAACAACAAAGAUCUUUGGGUGGUGGGAUUUUAGAUUUUUUUAUUUGCGUGCCUUUUAUACUUUUUCUACAAUGAAUAGUUAUUUGAAGAGGAAAAAAUAAUGGAAGGAGAAUAAUGUGAACAUUUUCCCCACGGACCAUUUAUUUGUCAUUGAGGUCUUUACCAAUUUGCAAAACAAAGACUCUCCUAUUUUUCUGGAUGAUGUUAAUUCUCUGAGCCAUUCUGUUUGCUCAAGCUGAUGCUGUGAUAACACAAUGCUCAUGAGAAAACAGUGGGGUUAUGGCCAUGUAUGGUGUCUAGUGAAUAACCCCAGGUACUCAAUGAGAGUUUGUCACACAUGUGAACAUCAUCUCUGUUAUAUGCUGUGAGACACACAAAACAUGAUCCUCAGAAGAAGAAGAAAGAAAACCACAGAUCUAGUAGACUAAUUCAACUAACUGAAUUAUAAGUUCCUUGAAGAAUGAAUGAUAUAAAAGUCACAUAAGUUUGUUUUAUAAAUGAAUGAAUGAAUGUACAAACAUAUACUCAUUGUCUCUUUUUGGUCU